CUCAGGACGAACGCUGGCGGCGUGCUUACACAUGCAAGUCGAACGGUAAGGUCCUUCGGGGAUACACGAGUGGCGCACGGGUGCGUAACACGUAUGCAACCUACCUUCCAGAGGGGAAUAGUCGCGGGAAACUGCGAAUAAUACCCCGUACGAUCGCGAAGUCGCAUGGCUUUGCGAGGAAAGCUCCGGUGCUGGAAGAUGGGCAUGCGUUCCAUUAGCUAGUUGGUGAGGUAACGGCUCACCAAGGCGACGAUGGAUAGCUGGUCUGAGAGGAUGAUCAGCCACACGGGAACUGAGACACGGUCCCGACUCCUACGGGAGGCAGCAGUGAGGAAUCUUGGUCAAUGGGGGCAACCCUGAACCAGCCAUGCCGCGUGGAGGAUGACGGCCCUCUGGGUUGUAAACUUCUUUAGCUAGGGACUAAUUGCGUGCUAUAGGCACGCUUGCAGGUACCUAGAGAAUAAGCGCCGGCUAACUACGUGCCAGCAGCCGCGGUAAUACGUAGGGCGCAAGCGUUGUCCGGAUUUAUUGGGUUUAAAGGGUGCGUAGGCGGAUAGAUAAGUUCGUGGUGAAAUCGUUCGGCUUAACCGGAUAUCCGCCAUGGAUACUGUUUAUCUUGAGUGUGGUUGAGGAAGUUAGAAUGCGUGGUGUAGCGGUGAAAUGCAUAGAUAUCACGCAGAAUACCAAUUGCGAAGGCAGACUUCUGGGCCAUUACUGACGCUGAGGCACGAAAGCGUGGGGAGCGAACAGGAUUAGAUACCCUGGUAGUCCACGCUGUAAACGAUGAUCACUAGGUGUUCGGUCAUACGGCUGAGUGCCCAAGCGAAAGCGAUAAGUGAUCCACCUGGGGAGUACGUUCGCAAGAAUGAAACUCAAAGGAAUUGACGGGGGCCCGCACAAGCGGUGGAGCAUGUGGUUUAAUUCAAUGAUACGCGAGGAACCUUACCUGGGCUACAAUGCCUCUGAUCGGCGCCGAAAGGUGUUUUCUCUUCGGAGCAGAGUGCAAGGUGCUGCAUGGUUGUCGUCAGCUCGUGCCGUGAGGUGUUGGGUUAAGUCCCGCAACGAGCGCAACCCCUAGCUUUAGUUGCCAGCAUUACGGAUGGGGACUCUAGAGCGACUGCCUCCGCAAGGAGUGAGGAAGGAGGGGACGACGUCAAAUCAUCAUGGCCCUUACGCCCAGGGCGACACACGUGCUACAAUGGACGGUACAGAGGGUAGCAAGCCUGCGAAGGUGAGCCAAUCUCAAAAAGCCGUUCUCAGUUCGGAUCGGAGUCUGCAACUCGACCCCGUGAAGUCGGAAUCGCUAGUAUCGCAGAUCAGCCAUGCUGCGGUGAUACGUUCCCGGGCCUUGUACACACCGCCCGUCAAGCCAUGGAAGCCGGGGGCGCCUGAAGCCAGCCGUCAAAAGCUGUCUAGGGCGAAACUGUAACUGGGGCUAA
rnacentral:rRNA from 1 species